AUGAGGAGCUCCGCCACCACAGCCGCCGCCACCACAGCCGCUGCUCUUUAUUUAGCACCGCUGCGUGAAAGUCAUCCCAGAACCCUCUCUGCCGCCUUUGUCUUAAGGAAAGCUCUUCUGCUCAUCACCGUCUUCUCUAGAGAAUCCGGUCUUCUGGGCGACGUGUCCACAGUGCGACGAUCUCAAUCUCGUCAUCUGUGCUUCGAAAAUAAGAAGAAGUGCAACAACCACAACAUCAUUUCCUUUUCUCAAGCUGCGGUGCAGCGGCCAAGAAAUGUGAUGGCACCACCGUUGAACAAGACGCUCAUCACCGAGGCAUCAGCGACUGCACCAGGUUUCCGUGGCGGCAGCAGCGUUACUACCCACCUUAGGUUGCCAGCUACCUCUGUCAUCACCUAUAAAUAGCAGGCUGUGUUUAGCUUGAUUGUAAAAAAAAAAAAAAAAAAUUCCAAAGCAGGAAGGUUUUUUUGGUCCUGCCCACUGCUGGAUGAUGGAGAGCGGAGUGUGCGUGGGCUGCGGAGAUGGGUCUUGCAUGUGGGCGUCCCAAUGUUCUCCAGGCCCCUUGCCCACUGGGGUGAUUCAGAGGGGGGCUGGAUGUGAGCUGCAGCUUCCCACCCACUCGCUCGCUAGAGCCCCCUGACAGCUGGAAAUGAGCCCCCCCAUCGCUGCCCGCACAGGCCUGGCUCGCAGAUCGAGUGAAAAAUAAAAAACCUUUCUUCUGUCUCCUCGCGAUGUGU
ensembl:lncRNA